AGAGUUUGAUCCUGGCUCAGGAUGAACGCUAGCGGCAGGCUUAACACAUGCGAGUCGAGGGGUAACAUUGGUGCUUGCACCAGAUGACGACCGGCGCACGGGUGCGUAACGCGUAUGCAACCUACCUUUUACUGGGGGAUAGCCCGAAGAAAUUCGGAUUAAUACCGCAUAACAAUUUUAAACUGCAUGGUUUAAAAUUUAAAACUACGGUGGUAAAAGAUGGGCAUGCGUGACAUUAGCUAGUUGGUGAGGUAAUGGCUCACCAAGGCGACGAUGUCUAGGGGUUCUUAAAGGAAGGUCCCCCACACUGGUACUGAGACACGGACCAGACUCCUACGGGAGGCAGCAGUGAGGAAUAUUGGUCAAUGGACGGAAGUCUGAACCAGCCAUGCCGCGUGCAGGAUGACUGCCCUAUGGGUUGUAAACUGCUUUUAUACAGGGAGAACACUACUCUUGCGAGAGUAACUGACGGUACUGUAUGAAUAAGGAUCGGCUAACUCCGUGCCAGCCGCCGCGGUAAU
rnacentral:rRNA from 1 species